rnacentral:misc_RNA from 1 species
GGCAACACAAAUACACCCUCAUCUUAAUAUCAUAUAAAUAACUUGUACAAUAUUUGCUAAAUAUGAGAUGUAAACUCUACCAUCAAGGUUUCUGAUCAUGUUCUUCUUCAGCAGCUGAUGGAGGAAAGAAAGGAAACCAUGUUCUUGGAAACCAUGUUCUUGGGUCUCUCAGUGAAAAGGCAGGCGGUGGUGGCGGAGGUGGCCGUCCGGGAGCCGGAAAUAAAGGAGGAAAUAAAGGAGGCAGUGGCGGAAACGGAAAUAGAAAAGGCGGCGGUGGUGGGGGCGGAGGUGGCGGUGAAGCCAACAGAGGUGGCACCAACCCUACUGGUGGAAGUGGCACCAACCCCACCGGCGGAAGGGGCGGAAAUUGCGGAAGCGGCGGAAGUUGCGGAAGGGGAGGCAACGGUGGCAGCGGGAAAGGAAAUGCCGGUGGUGGAGGAGAAGGUGAAAAGAAUGGUAUAGGGGGCAAUGGGAAAGGAAAAGCUGGUGGUGGAGUGAAGAGCGGUAUGGGAGGAAAACGGAAGGGGAGAGUCGGUGGGCUUGGAAAAGGGUACGGCCAAGGAAACCAGAAUGGCGGCCAAAAGAAGAGUGAGUUGUUGAAAGAGCCAGGGCUGGAACUGGAGAGUUGCUGCUCUAUAAUUUUCUUUGCUCCACAGACUCCAUCAUACCUUUUAGGGGGCCUGAAAUUCAGUGCAUUCAACAUGAAUGCACAGAUGCUGCUGCCCUUGCCGCACUUGACUGCAACGUGCUCAGUCGAGCUGGCAAGCCCCGGCACAUUGCAGAGAGCGGAUGAACUUCCGACGAGGCUGGCGCGGCAGAACGACUCGAUAUCCCUGCCCUCUCUGCAUUCGAAGCCGUCUACCGGUGGGAUGUCGAGUUUGUAGAUUCCGUGUUGGUCGGUGAUGCGGUCUGCCGUGAUGGUGAUGUCUUCAUUAGAGGUGGAGUUUGCUCUGAACUUGCAUUCUACAUGGACACUGGCACCGGGAAGGAAGUAGCUGUGGUUGGAGAAGCUGUUGAUGUAGCACGUGUCGCAGAAGACAGCGCCGAUGACGGUGAUAUUUGAGAUGGGGUUGGGUUGGGCUCCGGGGAGGGUGGCGGUGGAAAGGAGUGUGAGGAGGAGAGGGAGGAGGCUUGGAUUCAU